CCUACGGGAGGCUGCAGUCGAGAAUCAUUCACAAUGGGGGAAACCCUGAUGGUGCGACGCCGCGUGGGGGAAUGAAGGUCUUCGGAUUGUAAACCCCUGUCAUGUGGGAGCAAAUUAAAAAGAUAGUACCACAAGAGGAAGAGACGGCUAACUCUGUGCCAGCAGCCGCGGUAAUACAGAGGUCUCAAGCGUUGUUCGGAAUCACUGGGCGUAAGGCGUGCGUAGGCUGUUUCGUAAGUCGUGUGUGAAAGGCGCGGGCUCAACCCGCGGACGGCACAUGAUACUGCGAGACUAGAGUAAUGGAGGGGGAAGCGGAAUGCUCGGUGUAGCAGUGAAAUGCGUAGAUAUCGAGAGGAACACUCGUGGCGAAGGCGGGUUCCUGGACAUUAACUGACGCUGAGGCACGAAGGCCAGGGGAGCGAAAGGGAUUAGAUACCCUUGUAGUC
rnacentral:rRNA from 1 species